UGGGGAAUUUUGGACAAUGGGCGAAAGCCUGAUCCAGCAAUGCCGCGUGUGUGAAGAAGGCCUUCGGGUUGUAAAGCACUUUUGUUCGGGAAGAAAUCUCCUGGGUUAACACCUCGGGGGGAUGACGGUACCGGAAGAAUAAGCACCGGCUAACUACGUGCCAGCAGCCGCGGUAAUACGUAGGGUGCGAGCGUUAAUCGGAAUUACUGGGCGUAAAGCGUGCGCAGGCGGCUGUGCAAGACAGGUGGGAAAUCCCCGGGCUCAACCCGGGAACUGCACUUGUGACUGCACGGCUAGAGUGUGUCAGAGGGAGGUGGAAUUCCGCGUGUAGCAGUGAAAUGCGUAGAGAUGCGGAGGAACACCGAUGGCGAAGGCAGCCUCCUGGGAUAACACUGACGCUCAGGCACGAAAGCGUGGGGAGCAAACA
rnacentral:rRNA from 1 species